ensembl:ncRNA B0213.25 ncRNA
UUUUUUCGGAUUUUUUCGGAGUUCGGAAUUUCGGAUUUUUUUUGGAAUUUUUAAAAAUUUUCGAAA